rnacentral:lncRNA from 1 species
GAGAGGAAGGGAGAAGAUAAGCGAGGGGAGAGGAGGAGAUAAGUAGAGAGAGGAGGGGAGACUAAAGGCCCCGGGGAGGCAUUUAGUUCCAGUUGAAAACACAACCGGGACUAAAGGCACCUUUAGUCCUGAUUGGUGUUUUCAACCAGGAUAAAAAGCCCUAUCAUCCCACUAGCCGUUACAAUCAGGAUUAAAGGGGGCUCUUUAGUGCUGGUUGAUAUUACCAACCGGGACUAAAGAGUCCUCGUCGGUGGUGGAUUUUUGACUCGGGACUAAAGGC